CACUAGCGAUCCGCCGGUGGCUCUUUGGCCCUGGUGGGGAGCUUCCCGGAAACGAAAGUCUUCCGGUUCCGGGGGAAGUAUGGUUGCAAAGCUGAAACUUAAAGGAAUUGACGGAAGGGCACCACCAGGAGUGGAGCCUGCGGCUUAAUUUGACUCAACACGGGAAAACUCACCCGGCCCGGACACCGUGAGGAUUGACAGAUUGAUAGCUUUUUCAUGAUUCGGUGGGUGGUGGUGCAUGGCCGUUCUUAGUUCGUGGAUCGAUUUGUCUGGUUUAUUCCGAUAACGAGCGAGACUCCAGCCUACUAACUAGUGCGAGCAUUGCCUCUGUGCUUGUCACUUCUUAGAGGGAUUGGCUGCGUCUAGCGGCACGAAACGGAGCAAUAACAGGUCUGUGAUGCCCUUAGAUGUCCGGGGCUGCACGCGCGCUACACUGGCAAAAGCAGCGUGCUUGUCCGCCUCCGAAAGGAGCCGGUAAACCCUUGAAAAUUUGCCGUGAUUGGGAUCGGAAAUUGCAAUUAUUUUCCGUGAACGAGGAAUUCCUAGUAAGUGCGAGUCAUCAGCUCGCGU
rnacentral:rRNA from 1 species